AUAGAGACUCAGAGCUGCAUAUCAAUAAGCGGAGGAAAAGAAACUAACUAGGAUUCCCUUAGUAACGGCGAGUGAGGCGGGAAGAGCUCAAAUUUGAAAUCUUCAAGGUUCUACCUUGACGAAUUGUAGUUUAAAGAAGUGUUUUCUGUUGGAGUUUUGGUAAAAGUUCUUUGGAAUAGGACAUCAUAGAGGGUGAGAAUCCCGUAUUUGACCAUUUCUUCCAGCUGUGUGAUACACUUUCGAAGAGUCGGAUUGUUUGGGAAUGCAGUCCAAAAUGGGUGGUAAAUUUCAUCUAAAGCUAAAUAUUGGCGAGAGACCGAUAGCGAACAAGUACCGUGAGGGAAAGACGAAAAGAACUUUGAAAAGAGAGUUAAACAGUACGUGAAAUUGUCAAAAGGGAAGCGUUUGACACCAGUGUUGUUUUCUCGAAAAUCAAUUAAAAAUGACCGGAUUUUGUGUUGUAUUGACUUUAUCAGCUUUCUGCACUUUUUUCUUGUCUUUUUUAAUGCACUUUUCGUUUAACAAGUCAACAUCAAUUUCUUUUGUUGUAAAAGAGUCAUUGGAAGGUGGCUUUCUUUUCGGAGAAAGUGUUUAUAGCCUUGUAGCCUCUGCAAUCGGAGAGAUUGAGGUCUGCAGCGUAGAUCCUUCGGGGUUAGAUACGUUAGAUGCUAAGUUAUAGCUUUUUCAUAGACAACUUGUUGACUAUGAUUUAAUCAUUGUAGACUUACUCGCUUACUGCUAUUUUACCUACGCUUAGGAUGUUGAAGAUAUGCGCGACACG
rnacentral:rRNA from 1 species